rnacentral:rRNA from 1 species
GAUGAACGCUGGCGGCGUGCCUAAUACAUGCAAGUCGAGCGAACAGACGAGGAGCUUGCUCCUCUGACGUUAGCGGCGGACGGGUGAGUAACACGUGGAUAACCUACCUAUAAGACUUGGAUAACUUCGGGAAACCGGAGCUAAUACCGGAUAAUAUAUUGAACCGCAUGGUUCAAUAGUGAAAGACGGUUUUGCUGUCACUUAUAGAUGGAUCCGCGCCGCAUUAGCUAGUUGGUAAGGUAACGGCUUACCAAGGCAACGAUGCGUAGCCGACCUGAGAGGGUGAUCGGCCACACUGGAACUGAGACACGGUCCAGACUCCUACGGGAGGCAGCAGUAGGGAAUCUUACGCAAUGGGCGAAAGCCUGACGGAGCAAAGCCGCGUGAGUGAUGAAGGUCUUCGGAUCGUAAAACUCUGUUAUUAGGGAAGAACAAAUGUGUAAGUAACUAUGCACGUCUUGACGGUACCUAAUCAGAAAGCCACGGCUAACUACGUG